rnacentral:rRNA from 1 species
GUCGAACGAACUUCCGUUAAUUGAUUAUGACGUGCUUGCACUGAAUGAGAUUUUAACACGAAGUGAGUGGCGGACGGGUGAGUAACACGUGGGUAACCUGCCCAGAAGCAGGGGAUAACACCUGGAAACAGAUGCUAAUACCGUAUAACAGAGAAAACCGCCUGGUUUUCUUUUAAAAGAUGGCUCUGCUAUCACUUCUGGAUGGACCCGCGGCGCAUUAGCUAGUUGGUGAGGUAACGGCUCACCAAGGCGAUGAUGCGUAGCCGACCUGAGAGGGUAAUCGGCCACAUUGGGACUGAGACACGGCCCAGACUCCUACGGGAGGCAGCAGUAGGGAAUCUUCCACAAUGGACGCAAGUCUGAUGGAGCAACGCCGCGUGAGUGAAGAAGGGUUUCGGCUCGUAAAGCUCUGUUGUUAAAGAAGAACGUGGGUGAGAGUAACUGUUCACCCAGUGACGGUAUUUAACCAGAAAGCCACGGCUAACUACGUGCCAGCAGCCGCGGUAAUACGUAGGUGGCAAGCGUUAUCCGGAUUUAUUGGGCGUAAAGCGAGCGCAGGCGGUCUUUUAAGUCUAAUGUGAAAGCCUUCGGCUCAACCGAAGAAGUGCAUUGGAAACUGGGAGACUUGAGUGCAGAAGAGGACAGUGGAACUCCAUGUGUAGCGGUGAAAUGCGUAGAUAUAUGGAAGAACACCAGUGGCGAAAGCGGCUGUCUGGUCUGUAACUGACGCUGAGGCUCGAAAGCAUGGGUAGCGAACAGGAUUAGAUACCCUGGUAGUCCAUGCCGUAAACGAUGAUUACUAAGUGUUGGAAGGUUUCCGCCCUUCAGUGCUGCAGCUAACGCAUUAAGUAAUCCGCCUGGGGAGUACGACCGCAAGGUUGAAACUCAAAAGAAUUGACGGGGGCCCGCACAAGCGGUGGAGCAUGUGGUUUAAUUCGAAGCUACGCG